GGGUUUCCUGAUGGCAGCAGCCCCCGAGGCGAGAGUCCCAGCAAGGGCUAUUGUUCGUUGUUCGGGAAACUUCGCCCGAAAUUGGUACCCCCAUUAUUAUUUUUGCAUGUGUCUCCUAGGGAAGAGAAGAGGCUGGUUGGGUUGUAGAAACCCAGUCUAUGAAUUUCAAGUCUUCAUCACCCCUGAGGUCUUUUCAGGAAGAGCACCAUGUUGGUGAUGCUGCGUCUCUGAGAGCCUCCUCCUGCUAUUGGCGCCGUGUUAGGGAGCCGGAAGGAGGCUGAGAGGUUCUGAAAAUGAAACCAGAAUGCUGUCCAGGCUGACGCGGGCACCUGGUGAGCAGAGGGACCGUCCAUGAAUCUGCACCCCACAUGAGACGCACGUGCAAACUGGAACUAAUGCCUGCUCACAGCCUAAUUACACUCGCGGCGUCAGCGUUCUGGGCAGGCCGUUCACACUGAAACUCGGUCGGCACUGGCGCUGGGGCGGAUCCUGGCCAUCGACCACUCCAUUCUACAGCGGCUCCUUCAGUGAGUCGCAAAAACACUUGCUGAUUCUGGGCCUCAAUUUCCCCUUGUGCAAGGCGAGGCCAGUGCCUUAGCCUCACAGAAAAUAAAAAGUGUCCCAGAAGCAGAGGGAAGUGUGGUUUAAAACCCAUCAAAACCACAGCGAGGGCCUGAGAUCCUGACUCCCGACGGCACCACAGCCUCACAGUUCUGGCUGUGAGUCACAGACCUUAUUCCAGGCAAGCUGGGAACUCCAGCCGGGUCUGGGUUAUUAUUUCUUGCCAGUGAUUUUUCAGAGAGAAGGAGCCCUAGGAUGGCAGCAGGAUGCAGUGGUUAGCAUUGGGAUUCACGCUGCCCCGUGGCCUGGCCGAGACGCACCCACGAGGAUCCCUCGCCCGUGGCCGCCCUCCUCACCCAGCACUCCAGGCAA
rnacentral:lncRNA from 1 species